AGAACGAACGCUGGCGGCAUGCCUAACACAUGCAAGUCGAACGCUUUACCGGUUUCGGCCGGCAAGGAGUGGCGCACGGGUGAGUAGCGCGUGGGAACCUGCCCUGUUGUGGGGGAUAACCGAGGGAAACUUCGGCUAAUACCGCAUAAGCCGGUUGUCUUGAAAGAGAUGGCCGGGAAAGAUUUAUCGCGACAGGAGGGGCCCGCGUCGGAUUAGCUAGUUGGCGGGGUAACGGCCCACCAAGGCUGUGAUCCGUAGCUGGUCUGAGAGGAUGAUCAGCCACACUGGGACUGAGACACGGCCCAGACUCCUACGGGAGGCAGCAGUGGGGAAUAUUGGACAAUGGGCGCAAGCCUGAUCCAGCAAUGCCGCGUGAGUGAUGAAGGCCUUAGGGUUGUAAAGCUCUUUCGCCCGCGACGAUGAUGACGGUAGCGGGAGAAGAAGCCCGGCUAACUUCGUGCCAGCAGCCGCGUAA
rnacentral:rRNA from 1 species